rnacentral:rRNA from 1 species
CCUACGGGAGGCAGCAGUGAGGAAUAUUGGUCAAUGGGCGAGUGCCUGAACCAGCCAAGUCGCGUGAGGGAAGACGGUCCUACGGAUUGUAAACCUCUUUUGUCAGGGAGCAAGGAGCGCCACGAGUGGUGCGGCGAGAGUACCUGAAGAAAAAGCAUCGGCUAACUCCGUGCCAGCGGCCGCGGUAAUACGGAGGAUGCGAGCGUUAUCAGGAUUUAUUGGGUUUAAGGGGGCCGCAGGCGGAAGCGGGAAGUACGCGGGAAAAUUGCGGGGCUAAACCUCGACGAGCCGUUGAAACUGCUCUUCUAGAGUGGGCGAGAAGUAGGCGGAAUGCGUGGUGUAGCGGUGAAAUGCAUAGAUAUCACGCAGAACUCCGAUUGCGAAGGCAGCAUACGGGCGCCCAACUGACGCUCAUGCACGAAAGCGUGGGUAUCGAACAGGAUUAGAUACCCCUGUAGUC